AAGGGAAAGAUUUUAUUCCAAACAAAACACAAACUUACAAACAGACAAAGGCCCAACAACACCUAUACAUAGCCAAAAAGGGCCUAAACAGAAAGAAACAACAGAAACAGAAAAUAAGCCCAAAAUCAAAGAACAUCCGAGAAGCAUCACUGCCUUCUCCAUCGACAAUCCAAGGAACUGUUAGCCAUCCGAUUCCCCGACCACCGCUGAUCAUCUUCUUCACUGACGUCUUCUGCGCACAACCAUAAGUUAUAGGUAAUCGACAUCCAAGCGAGAGAGGCCAAUCACCAGUUGGAAGCUCAGAACAAGUCCCGAGCAACACUGCCCCAAGCAACAGACACAAAGGAGAACAUGGUGGUGUGGAACACACUCGAGCUGGUGCAAGCGCAGGAACUUUACACACGAUCUCGACAGAAGACCUAGCUGAAAAACAAAGCAAGGAAGAAUCAGGAAGAAGAGAACACACAAAGUAGGAGGAAUUAAAAAGGCCGAAUAGAAAAUUAGGGAGAACCAACAGUAGAUGCAGGAAGAAAAAAAGGAUAAAAGGAAAAAGAGGACACAUCACCCGACCCCAGCCGAAGCUAGGGUCGGUGCCACCGAAGAGCCUGGAAGAAGAUCUCACAUAUGUACUCUCACAGCAGAGAGAAAGAAACACUCACAAAGGAGAGAACUCAAUUUCUUUUAUUUAUAUUUGCUCUCCUUAUUUUAUUAUUUAUAUUUCUAUUGGAA
rnacentral:lncRNA from 1 species